CUCUAGGUGAAUGAUUUUACCUGACCUUGGGAAAUGGAUUAGACCACGGUUGACUCAGGCCCUUCCACUCUCAUUUUGUUUGGUGAUCUGCCUCCCAAGUUUAAUGGGGCCUGUCAAAGUGGCUGGAAAAACCAAAAAGGCCCGGACACUUCUGGGUCACUUGGAAUGAAAGGCGACACCUAGGGGACAGUGGUGGGCUAAGUGGAAAGCUCAGCCCUUGACCCUGUUAUGACCAGAUGAAACCAGCUGGAACUCUCUCCACAAGGAAGGUGCUAUUGUCAGCAUUUAAGAACACUAGUCCAAGUCACAUGGGAGAAAGAGAGAACACAGCAGGGGGAGCAGCAGGUAGAAGGAGAAAGAGAAGCAAUCUCCUCACAGAGCCGGGAACCUGACAUGGGACUCCAUCCCAGGAUCCUGGCAUCAUGAGCUGAGUUGAAGCCAGAUGCUUAGCCACCUGAGCCACCAAGGUGCCCCAUGCCACUUCCAUUUUUAAGCUCCACAGUAGCUGAAACAAUUUACAUCCCCACCGGCAGGGCACAAGAGCUCCUUUUUCUUCACAUCCUCGCCAACACUUGUUACUUCCUGUCUUUUUGACGCUAGCCAUUCUGACAGGUGUGAGAUGAUACCUCAUUGUAGU